CAAUAGAAUAUAAUUUUAGGUGCCUAGAGUAUUAGGUGAAAAGGGAAUGUGGUUUAAGUCCGCAGCAGCCCCCGCUACUGUAAUUGAGAAAUCAAAAGCCAGGAGACCUGCCUAAAUGAUGUUAACAAA
rnacentral:ncRNA from 2 species